rnacentral:rRNA from 1 species
ACUCAAAGGAAUUGACGGGGGUCCGCACAAGCAGUGGAUCAUGUUCUUUAAUUCGAUGGUAAGCGAAGAACCUUACCAGGGCUUGACAUCCUUGGAAUUACUGUGAAAGCAGUGAGUGCCUUUGGGAGCCAAGUGACAGGUGCUGCAUGGCCGUCGUCAGCUCGUGUCGUGAGAUGUUUGGUUAAGUCCAUCAACGAGCGCAACCCUUAUGAUUAGUUGGAUUUUUCUAAUCAGACUGCCCCGGUAACGGGGAGGAAGGAGGGGAUGAUGUCAGGUCUGUAUUGCCCUUACGCCCUGGGCUAGAAACGUGAUACAAUGGCCAGUACAAAGGGCAGCUAAGUCGCGAGACGGAGCAAAUCCCAUCAAAGCUGGUCUCAGUUCGGAUUACAGGCUGAAACUCGCCUGUAUGAAGCUGGAAUUGCUAGUAAUCGCAGGUCAGCACACUGCGGUGAAUACGUUCCCGGACCUUGUACACACCGCCCGU